AAGGUACUCCUUCCGUCCCAAAAUUUUUGUCUUAAAUUUGUCUAGAUACGGAUGUAUCUAAUACUAAAACGUGACUUGAUACAUCCGUAUUUAGACAAAUCUAAGACAAGAAUUUUGGGACGAAGGGAGUAUGUU
rnacentral:pre_miRNA from 1 species